rnacentral:rRNA from 1 species
GAAUCUUGGACAAUGGGCGCAAGCCUGAUCCAGCCAUGCCGCGUGAGUGAUGAAGGCCCUAGGGUUGUAACACUCUUUCGCCGAGGACGAUAAUGACGGUACUCGGAGACGAAGCUCCGGCUAACUUCGUGCCAGCAGCCGCGGUAAUACGAAGGGGGCUAGCGUUGUUCGGAUUUACUGGGCGUAAAGCGCGUGUAGGCGGGUCGUUAAGUUGGGGGUGAAAUCCCGAGGCUCAACCUCGGAACUGCCUUCAAAACUGGCGACCUGGAGCAAGAUAGAGGCAAGUGGAAUUGCGAGUGUAGAGGUGAAAUUCGUAGAUAUUCGCAGGAACACCAGUGGCGAAGGCGACUUGCUGGAUCUUUGCUGACGCUGAGACGCGAAAGCGUGGGGAGCAAACAGG